UUAUCCAUCAGAGUUUCUUACUUCGAUAAGUGGUUCGUAUAUUGGCGAUGGGUAUUUAUCAACAGGUUUAGAUGCUAUUAAAUUUAAUACCAACAAGGGUUGUUACGGACCAUUUGGGCGUACAGAGCCUACAAGUAGUAGCAAGCGAUUCAACUUUGAAUUACGAAAUCAUCGUCUAUUUGGUGGUUUUCAUGGCACCAUGAGUCGUCAUGCUGUUGAGAGUAUUGGGAUUUAUGUUAAGCCAGUCAUAUCCUCCAUGAAUUACUUGAAAGGAUCUCUUCGAGUUAAGGCUGAAAAAUGAUUGUACUUCCGUUUUACUUUUACCCUAUGCUUGCUGCUGGCUUAUUAUGUAAUGUUUUAUCAUUUAUAUAUGCUGUGUUGUAAAAUAAGUUCCUCGUGGUAAGAUCUUUGUACCGUCUAUGCUUCUCAGAAAUUUACUUGCUAGGUAUGUUAUUGUUCUUCAUACUACCGUCUAUGCUUCUCAGACUUCACUUUGUUAUUGUUGUAUUUAUUGUAAUAUGUUGCCAUACAAUGUACAGAACAUGAAGCUUACAAGUAAUUUAGAUUUGAAAUUCUCUUUUAAGG
rnacentral:misc_RNA from 1 species